GGUUAAGCGACUAAGCGUACACGGUGGAUGCCCUGGCAGUCAGAGGCGAUGAAGGACGUGCUAAUCUGCGAUAAGCGUCGGUGAGGUGAUAUGAACCGUUAUAACCGGCGAUUUCCGAAUGGGGAAACCCAGUGUGUUUCGACACACUAUCAUUAACUGAAUCCAUAGGUUAAUGAGGCGAACCGGGGGAACUGAAACAUCUAAGUACCCCGAGGAAAAGAAAUCAACCGAGAUUCCCCCAGUAGCGGCGAGCGAACGGGGAGGAGCCCAGAGCCUGAAUCAGUGUGUGUGUUAGUGGAAGCGUCUGGAAAGGCGCGCGAUACAGGGUGACAGCCCCGUACACAAAAAUGCACAUACUGUGAGCUCGAUGAGUAGGGCGGGACACGUGGUAUCCUGUCUGAAUAUGGGGGGACCAUCCUCCAAGGCUAAAUACUCCUGACUGACCGAUAGUGAACCAGUACCGUGAGGGAAAGGCGAAAAGAACCCCGGCGAGGGGAGUGAAAAAGAACCUGAAACCGUGUACGUACAAGCAGUGGGAGCCUCUUAAUGGGGUGACUGCGUACCUUUUGUAUAAUGGGUCAGCGACUUAUAUUCUGUAGCAAGGUUAACCGAAUAGGGGAGCCGAAGGGAAACCGAGUCUUAACUGGGCGUUAAGUUGCAGGGUAUAGACCCGAAACCCGGUGAUCUAGCCAUGGGCAGGUUGAAGGUUGGGUAACACUAACUGGAGGACCGAACCGACUAAUGUUGAAAAAUUAGCGGAUGACUUGUGGCUGGGGGUGAAAGGCCAAUCAAACCGGGAGAUAGCUGGUUCUCCCCGAAAGCUAUUUAGGUAGCGCCUCGUGAAUUCAUCUCCGGGGGUAGAGCACUGUUUCGGCAAGGGGGUCAUCCCGACUUACCAACCCGAUGCAAACUGCGAAUACCGGAGAAUGUUAUCACGGGAGACACACGGCGGGUGCUAACGUCCGUCGUGAAGAGGGAAACAACCCAGACCGCCAGCUAAGGUCCCAAAGUCAUGGUUAAGUGGGAAACGAUGUGGGAAGGCCCAGACAGCCAGGAUGUUGGCUUAGAAGCAGCCAUCAUUUAAAGAAAGCGUAAUAGCUCACUGGUCGAGUCGGCCUGCGCGGAAGAUGUAACGGGGCUAAACCAUGCACCGAAGCUGCGGCAGCGACACUAUGUGUUGUUGGGUAGGGGAGCGUUCUGUAAGCCUGUGAAGGUG
rnacentral:rRNA from 1 species